AGGCCUGGUGCGUAAGUCUACCCCACACAGUCCUUUGCGAUUUUCCUCUCCCACUUUGGGAGCCAGUGGAUGAAGAGGGUGGAACCAUAGAAUAGAAGGAACCCAGAUACAGAUCACUGUUCAGAGGAGAGCUGCCUGCCAGUCAGGAAGACCCAUUUUGGACUUUAUAAAUGCUCUGACCUUAAAAGGAAUAUUGGAGGCAGGAGGAAACAGAGGAAGCAAGAAGAAUUUCCUGGAAGGUAAUUAUUGUAAUAUAAGCAUACUUCGGAGAUAUUGCAGGUUCCGUUCCAGACCACUGCAACAGUGAAUAUCUCAAUCAACAUCUUCACCAGGAGUAGAUUUUAUCUUAAGAAGCCACUUUCUUUGCUCAUCCAGAAGCUACAACUCCUCAUCAUGAGAUUUCAGCAGUUCAGUUCCAUCUUCAGGCCCUAUUUUUAGUUCUCUUUAGUUCUCUUGCUAUUUCCACGACAUCUGCAAUGACUUCCUCAACUGAAGUCUUGAACCCCUCAAAGUAAUCCAUGAAGGAAGAUGACCACGGCCCCUCUGUUCCCUCGCCUGUGUGCCAAAUGGAUCCACAGCUAGAGACAAGCUCCUUCCCUUUGAACGGUGGGAAGCAGGCCAAGAUGUUUUAAAGACAGAUGGCAUCAGAUGCAGAGAAGCAAGCUGGAACUCGGAGCACAGCUGCCUUAUUUACUUACCUACUGGCUGCAUUUCUGAGAACCAGUUUUAUUCCUGUUCAAAGGAAGCCAGGCAGAGUUGGGAAAAUAUUUUCCUAGCCAGCUCCUUAGCACCACUGUCUGAGGGAAACCAUCUGGCCAAGAUGCCCUUCAACAUCACCGAGAACUACUGCCAUCAGCUAUAUAAUGAAACUAUUUUUAAGCAACAACAACAGCAGCAGAGAAGAGGGACCAACAGGGUCCAAUGCAUCAGAGGGGUCCAAACUGGUAAGCACUGAAAAAUAUCUAUUGAAUCGGACAAUUAGGAGGACUAACCUCCUCAAGAGUAAGUUCCUGCAGUUUGCUGGAUAAAGGGCAUCAGAGCGCCGUGGGUUGGGUUGAGGACAUCUUCUCCCUUACAGCCUCCUGGUUCUUCUCUCAGAAAAACUUCUCCUCCUUCCCAGCUCAAUCCUAUUUAUUUAUUUUAAAAUUUAUUGUGUAUAUUUAAGGUAUACAACAUGCUGUUAUAGGAUACACAUAGUUAGUAAAAUAUUUACUAUAGCAAAGCAAAUGAACAUCUCUGUCGUCUCCGCACAGUUACCCAUUUUUGUUGCUUUUGUGGCAAGAGCAGCUACAAUCUAGUCAUUUAGUAGGAAUCCCAAGUACAGUGCGAUUUUAUGACCUACAACCAUCAUGGUGUACAUUAGAUCUCUCCACACACCUGUUACAUUGUAUCCUCUGACCUACGUCUUCCCAUUUCUUCCUCCCAUUCCUCCCCAGCCUGCUUCCACCCCAGUAACUGCUGUUUUAUUAUCUGCGUCUGCACAUUUGAUUUUGUUUUUAGAUUCCACAUGUAAGUGACAUCAUGCACUAUUUUUUUUUCCUGUCUGACGCAUUUCACUCAGCAUAGUGUCUUCCAGGUUAAUCCAUGUUGUGCCAAACGACAGGACCUUCUUUUUAAAGGCUGAAUAAUAUUCCAUUGUAUACAGAUGCCACAGUUUUUUAAAUCCAUUCCUCCAUCGACACUUGGGUGGUUCCAUAUCUUGACUAUUGUGAAGAAUGCUGCGUGAAAAUAGAAGUGCAGCCUGAGCUUUUGCUGCGAUCUCCAAAAAAUCAUUGCCAG
rnacentral:lncRNA from 1 species